rnacentral:ncRNA from 1 species
CCGUAUGGGACGCGGAGGACAUUACCGAGUUUACAACUCCCAAACCCCUGUGAACAUACCUAUACGUUGCCUCGGCGGAUCAGCCCGCGCCCCGUAAAACGGGACGGCCCGCCCGAGGACCCCUAAACUCUGUUUUUAGUGGAACUUCUGAGUAAAACAAACAAAUAAAUCAAAACUUUCAACAACGGAUCUCUUGGUUCUGGCAUCGAUGAAGAACGCAGCAAAAUGCGAUAAGUAAUGUGAAUUGCAGAAUUCAGUGAAUCAUCGAAUCUUUGAACGCACAUUGCGCCCGCCAGUAUUCUGGCGGGCAUGCCUGUUCGAGCGUCAUUUCAACCCUCAAGCUCAGCUUGGUGUUGGGACUCGCGGUAACCCGCGUUCCCCAAAUCGAUUGGCGGUCACGUCGAGCUUCCAUAGCGUAGUAAUCAUACACCUCGUUACUGGUAAUCGUCGCGGCCACGCCGUAAAACCCCAACUUCUGAAUGUUGACCUCGGAUCAGGUAGGAAUACCCGCUGAACUUAAGCAUAUCAAUAAGCGGAGGAAAAGAAACCAACAGGGAUUGCCCUAGUAACGGC